rnacentral:rRNA from 1 species
UACGGAGGAGGCAAGCGUUAUCCGGAAUUAUUGGGCGUAAAGCGUAUGCAGGCGGAUCAUUAAGUCGGGGGUGAAAUCCCGAGGCUCAACCUCGGAACUGCCUUCGAUACUGAUGAUCUUGAGUCCGGGAGAGGUGAGUGGAACUGCGAGUGUAGAGGUGAAAUUCGUAGAUAUUCGCAAGAACACCAGUGGCGAAGGCGGCUCACUGGCCCGGUACUGACGCUGAGAUACGAAAGCGUGGGGAGCAAACAGG